UACGUAGGGGGCGAGCGUUAUCCGGAUUUACUGGGUGUAAAGGGAGCGUAGACGGCGUCGCAAGUCUGAAGUGAAAGCCCGUGGCUCAACCGCGGAACCGCUUUGGAAACUGCGAGGCUGGAGUGCUGGAGAGGUAAGCGGAAUUCCUGGUGUAGCGGUGAAAUGCGUAGAUAUCACGAAGAACCCCGAUUGCGAAGGCAGCCUGCCGCAGCGUUACUGACGCUGAAGCUCGAAAGCGCGGGUAUCGAACAGG
rnacentral:rRNA from 1 species